AUACAGAGGGUGCAAGCGUUAAUCGGAUUUACUGGGCGUAAAGCGCGCGUAGGCGGCUAAUUAAGUAAAAUGUGAAAUCCCCGAGCUUAACUUGGGAAUUGCAUUCGAUACUGGUUAGCUAGAGUGUGGGAGAGGAUGGUAGAAUUCCAGGUGUAGCGGUGAAAUGCGUAGAGAUCUGGAGGAAUACCGAUGGCGAAGGCAGCCAUCUGGCCUAACACUGACGCUGAGGUGCGAAAGCAUGGGGAGCAAACAGGAUUAGAUACCCCGGUAGUCC
rnacentral:rRNA from 1 species